rnacentral:snoRNA from 1 species
CUGGGAGUCUGCUGCCCAGUGGUUGCAAACGGCAGCCUCCUUGGUAGUGUAUGCAGACUGUUGUCUAUACGGGCUGCCCUAAGAGGCCUUAGAGACAAUU